rnacentral:rRNA from 1 species
AAUCAACGCUGGCGGCGUGCCUAACACAUGCAAGUCGAACGCGAAAGCCCCGCAAGGGGUAAGUAGAGUGGCAAACGGGUGAGUAAUACGUGGGUGAUAUGCUUUCGUGUGGGGGAUAACGUCUUGAAAGGGCCGCUAAUACUGCAUGACAUCAUGCUCUUGAACAAGCGGAGAUCAAGGCUGGGGAUCGCAAGACCUAGCGCUUGAAGAGGGGCCCGCGCCUGAUUAGCUAGUUGGCGAGGUAACGGCUCACCAAGGCGACGAUCAGUAUCCGGCCUGAGAGGGCGGGCGGACGCACUGAGAGUGAGACACGGCCCAGACGCCUACGGGAGGCAGCAGUGGGGAUAUGUGCGCAAUGGGCGCAAGCCUGACGACGCAACGCCGCGGGGAGAACGAAGAUCGUCGGGUCGUAGACUCCUGUCGAGCGGGACGAACGCGUCGCGGAUGAAUAAUCCGCGGAAUUGACGGUACCGCGAAAGGAAGCCCCGGCUAACUCCGUG